rnacentral:lncRNA from 10 species
CUUUGGCUAGGCCUUUGGUAUUUCAAGGCGCUGCCGGUGGGGAGAGAUGCCGCGUGCCUGAGAGGCUCUGGGAGGCACCAAAGAAGGCCCAGAGAGGUUUAACAACUUCCUCAGAAUCACACAGCUUCCAAAUGGUUGGGUUGGGUUUACAUUUAGGCGGUCUUGCUCCAGAGCCAGUGCUCCUAACCUUUGCAAGCCACGAACCUCAAGAAAGUGGAGAAGGAAACGCUGGGAAAUCUGGAAGUCAGACAUGGCAAAGAGCUAAUGCUGGCAGCUGUUGGGAUGUCCUCUUCCAGGAAUGGUGAUGAGUUUCCCUGGAUCCAGCCCUGGCUUGGCUGAGGUUUUUCUCACUGUAAGAAGAGGACAAUAGCCUAUGAUCUACAGUGCCCAUUCCAACUCAGAGAAUCUUUACAUCUGGAGAUCUAUAGCAGGGCUAUCCCUAGUGACAUGCGUGAAGAAGCUUGGAAAUGGUGCUGGGUAGGAGCUGAGUGUGCAGAAUGUGGAAAGGCAUUCUAAACCAAAGGAAGAACACGAGUAAAGAUGAUGAAGCAGGGAUAAGGCUAAAAUGAAAUUUGUGAUCUGAUCCACAUACAAGCACAGUGUAGUACAGCUGGAAUAUAGAGAAGAGCUUGAAGACUUAUGAGCAACUAUCCCGGUACUCUUGGAGGCUCUGCAACCACAGUUUGAGAAACUCCGCGUUCAAAGUUAAAAACUGUCACCUGAAUAGUUAAUAACAUCAAAGAUUGUGAAAGCAAGUAUAAAUAACACAGAGAUUAAAAUAAUGAGGCAGGAUC